UCCAACUGGGCAUCACCCCUGGCUUAUGCUGGCAGCUCCCUAUUGACCCACUUGGUCCCAGUGCCUGGAGGUCAUUCUGAGCUCUGCCCACCCAAAAGGAGUAUCCCUGGAAACCUGAGCACCACCCUAGGGUGUCAGCAUGGGGAUCACAAGGAGAUGUCCCCACACACCAGGUGUGCCUGAGGGACCUGGCAGGGGCUUCCUCUUGCAGCUGGGCACAGUGGCUUACAUGCCUAUAGCUGGAGGGGAUCCUUCCUCUCACCCAAGGCUGGCCACCCCCACCCAAACACUCCAAAUCCUGGCAUUGCACAGGGAAAGGCAGUGAGGGAAGGAGGCAUCAUCCAGCCACAAGCAGUCCAUGGUGACUGCUCCCGCCACAUUCCUGCUCAUUGGGACACCUUGGCAAUGUGUCAGGAGCAGGGACAAGACACACAGCCAUGGAUACAUGACACAGAUGACCAAGGGAAAGCAACAUGAAAAUGUAGAAGUUCAAAACAAGAAACUAUUUUCUUUUCUUUCCUGGCACUGUCACCUGUAGUGGGGAACAUCCCAUUGUGACAUCACCAGGCUCUGGAAGGUGACAUCCCAAGUAGCAGAUUGUGACAACAUAUCUACUGCUGAUUUUAUUUGGGCACCAGCAGUAACUGGGCCAAUCUGGCCCAAGCCUUGACUCAUGCUGAGGAAGACUCUGGGGUCUGCAGAGUCAAACCAGGCUUUUCCAAGCAUUGGUGGUAUGUUGGGGGCUGCCAUCAACAUCUCUCCUAGAGUGUCCAUCCUAGAGCCAUCGCUCCUGUUUCCCUGCCCUUCCUGGCUGGGGCAGCCAGGUAUUGCACGUGCAGCACUGAGGUGUGCGAUGCCAAUGAAGGAGAGCAGCUCCUGAUCCUCAGCUCUCCCCAAAAUGCUGCCAAGCACAACAAUGGCCAGAGAAAAUUACAGUAACUGCCUCAUCUGCCAGGACACUCCAAAGGAUGUGGCUUCUGCUCUGCCCUGUCACCACUGGUUCUGCCUGGGCUGCAUCAUACGGUGGACACAAACAAAUCCAUCAUGCCCACUCUGCAGGACACUGAUAGAGACAGUCAGGUUUUCUGAGCGGGCUGAAGAGGAUUAUCUGCUGUUUGCUGUCAUCUCCCCUGAAGAGUCACCAGAGACCAGCAGCCACACAGGGGCAGCUCCCAUCCUCCUGGAUGAAACCAGCCCCCAUGGCCCUCUGGUGUCUCCUGCACCUUCUCCACAGGGAACACUGUCCCCAGCUGAGCAGGGGGCUGCUGGACCAGAGCCUGUGGGUGGCCUCCUGCCUGAGGUGUGGGCAAGACUGUUCCAGCAACAACAGCACCUCUUGGAUCCUGUGCGGCCCUGGCUGUGUGAGAGGCUGGAGGGAAUAUUCCAGGACCAGUGGUGGCUGGUACAAGUUGCACAGAGCAACAUCCUGCAUGAUCUCUGCAUCCAUGGUCUGAAUGUGGAGAAUUUGGUCUGGACACUGCAGAACUGCCUUGGGGAACACACAGCACCGUUGAUCCAUGGCCUCAUCACGGUCAUUGUGGCCAAGUGCAAUGAUGAGGCCCACAAGCUGCUGCUUUUCAGCAUUGGCAGGGAGGAGACUGACAGCCUUGUGGCCAGGGCCAGCUCCAGCUCCAGCUCCAUGUCCAGCAGCUCCAGUUCCAGCAGCUCCCAAGAGAGCAUUUCUGCCAGUGUCCCAGCAGGGUUAAACAUGGAGGAGGCAGCAGGACCAGUAGAGGCCGUUCUCCAAGGAAGUCCCAGGCACCAUUCACCUGUGCCCAUUCCCACAGAAAGGGACAAAUUCCAUGAGGAACCAGAGCAGGCAGUGGUGGCAGGUCCAUCUGCCCAGGGUGGCAUCUGCAGCCAGGUACAGGGUUGGGACCAGUCUCACAGGGAGACUUGGCGUGCCCGAAAGAGGAGAGCCCCCAGCCCCCAGGAUUCUCCCCCACCCAACAAGAGGCCAAGAUGGGCACCUGUGCAACCCUGCAGUCCUGAGGGGCUCUCAUCAGGGGAAGAGAUGAAACCUGGACCAAGCAAGCCUACAGCAACUUUGGGAAACAACUGCAGCUUCCCAGGUCCUGCUUCCAUGCCGUGCCUGGUGAAGUCCCUGCCGGGGCAGUCCUCUGGUGCUGGGGGCUCCAAGAUCCCUCAGUAAGUGAUAGAACAUGACAUACUGAAAUGUGAGCACAUUUGAAAAUGUAGUCCCAGAUACAUCAAUGGUGCUGGAAUGAAGGAGUUAACUUUAAUAAAUUAACCUUUUAUGCUCUUA